GUGCUCACUUUGGCAGCACAUAUACUAAAAUUGAAGAUUGGCAUGGCCCCUGCGCAAGGAUGACACGCAAAUUCGUGAAGCGUUCCAUACUUUU
ensembl:snRNA U6 U6 spliceosomal RNA